rnacentral:rRNA from 1 species
CCUACGGGAGGCAGCCGUGGGGAAUAUUGGGCAAUGUGCGCAAGCCUGACCCAGCAACGCCGCGUGAAGGAAGAAGUCUUUCGGGUUGUAAACUUCUAUUAAGCGGGAAGAGCAGAAGACGGUACCUCUUGAAUAAGCCACCGCUAACUAUUUUCCAGCCGCCGAUGUAAUACGUAGGUGACAAGCGUUGUCCGGGUUUACUGGGUGUAAAGGGCGUGUAGCCGGGCUGACAAGUCAGAUGUGAAAUCCGGGGGCUCAACCCCCGAACUGCAUUUGACACUGUUGGGCUUGAGUGUCGGAGAGGCAGGCGGAAUUCCUAGUGUAGCGGUGAAAUGCGUAGAUAUUAGGAGGAACACCAGUGGCGAAGGCGGCCUGCUGGACGACAACUGACGGUGAGGCGCGAAAGCGUGGGGAGCAAACAGGAUUAGAUACCCCAGUAGUC